UACAGAGGUCUCAAGCGUUGUUCGGAUUUAUUGGGCGUAAAGCGUGCGUAGGCGGCGGGGUAAGUGAGGUGUGAAAUCCUGGAGCUCAACUCCAGAACUGCCUUCGAUACUGAGAGUCUCGAGUCCGAGAGAGGUGAGUGGAACUGCGAGUGUAGAGGUGAAAUUCGUAGAUAUUCGCAAGAACACCAGUGGCGAAGGCGGCUCACUGGCUCGGUACUGACGCUGAGGUGCGAAAGCGUGGGGAGCAAACAGG
rnacentral:rRNA from 1 species